CAAAUUGCGGUGAAUACGUUCCCGGGUCUUGUACACACCGCCCGUCAAACCAUGAAAAGUGACCAACACCCGAAGUCCGAUUCGUCGGCCUAAGGGUGGGGGGGCAUGAUUGGGGUU
rnacentral:rRNA from 1 species